GUUAGCUGAGGUCCUUCCAUUCAGUUCAGCAAGUCCUGGACUGGCCCACAAAUAAAAAGACUAUGCUGCAGCUAACUGAGAAAUAAGAGAAGGUGAUUUCUCUAUAGAUAAUGUGAAGUUCCAGUUUGCACUGGUAGAACUUCAGAACUUCUUCAGAUAGAAAUUCAGUCACAUGAAAUCAAAGAAAUCACAGAAGACAAAGGAAUUAUUUCAGAUGAAGUUGGUGUUAGUGAUGAGUUCAAGCUUUAUUUGUAAUUAAAAUAAUAGAACAAGAAAGUCCAAAAGAAAGAAAGGAAGAGUAGAAGUAGGUGGAAAAAGGAAGAAGUGGGUGACAAAAUACUGGCAGGUGAGCAAAGGCCUAAAUGAUGACAGACAGUUUUAACAAAGACUAGUCCAAAUGGUAGCAGUUUGAGUAUGAUCCACUGGAGGUGCUGGUUGGGUAAAAAAAAACAUCAAGCUUUUUGGGGAGGGUGGAGAGGAGCAAUGUGAGUUUUGGGUGGUUGUACAGAGUAGAAAGGGUUUGUUGAGAUUUCCUGAAGGAGAAUGAGCUUCUGAUACUCCAGGGCAGUUUCUCCACAAGCAAGUACAGUAGCAACUAGGAGUGAGCCUGGAGAGCUGCAGGUCUAGUGAGGUCCCCUGGACUGCAUGCUGUGUGCUUUGCCUGUGCUGCUGGGGUACCUCUUCCGUGCUCAGGUGCACCUGUAAGGAAUCUGGUCUGUAUUCUCGAGGACUUCUCCCUGAUGCAAAGCAAAGCAUGGUAAGGAGGACAUUGGAGUGGCUGUCUUCAAAAGCACACUGCUGCUCUAAACUUGAACAUUAAUGUAAGUGCAAUCUGCCAGACUUUAGGGUGGGAGUAGUGACAUGGGGCAGGGCAGAGGCAAUACUCAGAGUGCACUUGUUCAUGGCAGUGUGUGGAGCUGAGGGGAGUGAAAGCCCAAAGGGGUACAGCAUUUGAUGAGGUCACCAGGAGCUGUAGUGCAGGGUAAGCCCUCCAGGAAAGGGGGAAUGGCUGAUGCAGGGCUGUGUAGGUGUGUUUAAAAAAAUAAAGAAGACACAGUUCCCUUGACAUGCAUCUUAAAAGGAGGAUUGUUGGAUGGCUUUGUCCAAUGAGAUAACAUUACCAGUGAGUGAGUCCCCUCCAGAGGGGACAAAAAUGCCUUUUAGACAUAUGCAAGGUGACAGUGAAGUUAGCUAAAGCUUUGCAAUAUCUGUUUUCCUCUCAGGAUAAAGAACUCCUCAGAAAAGCUGGUGCCUAUUUAAAGGUUAUUGUGAUUUAGUAUUUCAGAAUGGAUUCCCUCCUGACGUAUUGCCUGUGAAAUUUUGAUGAGGCUUUGUAACACCAGCUCCAUCAAAAAAUAGGCAAAAGUAAUGCACAAGAAUCCCAAGUUUUCAUGUGUGGUUUUUAUAGAUCUUUUUCUUAAGACAUCCUGGAACAUGCUUUGCUGUGCUUAAAGGCUUCCUUGGUGGUUGCGACCAGUGCUAUGAAAUAGUAUUGCUGCUAGCUGGUGGUUUGCGCUGUAGAAAGCUGCUUAUAAUUCUCAAAGACUGCUUUCCAAAUGGAAUCACUUUGGUAAAUGAACCCUUUAAAACUUACACUCACAAAACUGAAUUCAGUUCAGGAAGCAGUGUUGAUUCUUCAGUCUUUUGUGAGUCACUUCCACUGUAACAUUCUCUGGAAUCAUUCAUUUCUGAGUGUUAAAUAUGACUGGUUGGUAAUGAGGAGUUAUCAUAGAUUCAGAGGUAUUUCCAUGUUCCCUGUCAGUGUGCCACUUCAUACUGUAUUUAUUCUCACAGAGCCUGUUAUAUAAAAGUACCAUUUUACAGAGCGGAGGCACAGGGAGAAUAAAUGAUGUAGAUAAGUCUGUGGAAGGAAAUAUGUUGCAGAACUAUCUUGGGUUUCCUCAGCUUAGGAUGUUUACCCACUGGACUAGCUCUCCACUUGUUCUGCAGCACAGCUUAUUCUUUUCUUGCUGGGGGUCUUGGUCAUCCCAUCCAGCACAGCCGAAACGGAUGCUGCAGAAAGAGCAAUCUGAUGAGGCUGGAUGUUACCAGAAAGCUAAUAGGAGUCUUAGCUUUAGUGAUAGGAUUAUGUCAAAUAACAUGAUUAACCAAGACAAAUGUGUUAGUACCUAAUUACAGCAUGUUUAUAUAUGGCAGUACUUUGAAAACAAGGAAAGUAAAAUAUGCAGUGGUUAUUGUCCAGAAUUGUUACCCUUGCUACAAGCAAUGGGUAUACACAACAGUUUGACUUUUCAACUUUGCUAAAAUGAUUUGCUAAUAAGAUUUUGUCUUAUGAAAGAGGAUGAAAUGCAUGAGCAGAAUGCAAACAUCUUUACUAGAUAUUGUUAGCAGUUGUGAGGAUAAAUUUUAACAAUGUUAGGAUUUUCUAGGCCUCUUUCAAACCGACCAUGUUGCCUCUCUAAAUUUGCUGAUUGUUGCAUGUCUUUCUCUAAUAACAGUUGGCCUUAAUUGCUUCUGAGCAAUAUUUCCUUGGAAGCCCUCAGAUAACAAAAGGCAAGGCAGAGCAGUCUGAAUGAAUUUCUACUUAGAAAUGGGCCAUGUUCAAUCUGUAAAAUAUGUAGACUUUUCUUCCUUUUGCUGGGGAAAGGCAGAAGAGGGCAAUAGGAGCAGGAUGUGGAGAGAAGAAGCAGUGCCAUGACCCUGUGGCAUUUCUACAUGUUGAAUCAGAAGGUGACAUUUAAACAAGUCUCACUACACCCAAUAUGAAAAGCUGCGGUGCAGAUCAAAUUGCUGGCUGUGCUUGAAGAGAGAAAAAAGGUCACGGCACCCAUCUGUAGGUAGCCUCACCUGUGUUAUGGAUGUUGAGGGAGCUUGCCAGCAGGCAAAAUGGGUCUUUAAUGCUGUAAUGCGCGCUUUUUUUUCCUUUUCUUGUUAGUUUCUUUGAGGGAAUGAAUGGCUCCGGACUUUCCAUCUCUGGAGCUGGUGGUUUCCAUACCACAGUGAUUCAGCCAGCAUGAACUCUUGACCAAAUCCCAGUUUGUUUCCUGGUUUUGUUUUUCUAAAAUACUUCACAUUUAGCAGAGCACAGAGGCCUCCCUACUGUGUGACAGUGUGAGACGGAGAGCUGUGCUCCUUUUACUGGUUAGCUGUCAAAGGCCAGUUCUCUAUGCUUCUGAAAACUUUGCAACUGAAAUAAUUGACAAGAACACACUGAAGUUUGACUAAAAUUGCCCAAAUUCUUACACGCUCCUGGCUUUUUGAUGCUAUGUGUUUAUGUGGAAUUUUCUUUGAGGUUUAAUAAGGUCUUAUUGUUGUUUGAGAAAUAUGCCUUGAAGAAAAUGUUCCAAGGUUUAAUCAGUGUGUUAUUGCAUAGGAAAUCAUAUACAUUUGUUUAGUUGCUACAUAAACAGAUUAGUAUUGGCAAUGAUUUCAAGGAAUAGUAGGUUGUUAAAGUAAUGUGAAGGGCCUUGUUCCUUUGCCUUGCUGGGUGUUUUUCGAUGACUGGGUUCUCUGGGAUGUUCUUUUUAGCGAAUAUGCUGGUGGUUAUCCCUGUUAUUGUGUAAGUGGAAGGUUCAGUAAGGACUUGGAGAAGCUUGGCCCUGGUGUUUGAACACCAUGAGAGAGAUGAUAGGCAGGAAAUCUAUAGCCUGUGGAAGCUACAAACAAAAGAAAUUAUACCCUGAAAAUUAAAACCAUAAAAUGUUCUUUCAAAAGUUCAUACAUUUAUAGAUACAUUAUCCCAAAUGAUACAUUGUAUGAGUAAACAAAAAAUAGCUCUAAUAGGUUUGAGACCUAAGGAAGCCCAUUACAGUUUACCUCUAUGAAAACACAGCAUUACUCCCUUCACACUCUCUGUCUUCUUGUUGUUCAUCAGAGAGAAAUACUGGUAUGUACAGGUUUGUUUCAGAGCCCCCUUCAUGCAGUGACCCCCACUGUCUGCUUUCUUUUUUACACUGUCCUUCUGUGUCUUCAUAAUUUUCUCCCUGUACUCCAGUAAUUUGUUAUCUGUCUCAGAUUCUGCGUGAGUUGCCUGAGGCUGUGGGCUGACAUAAGCUAGUUGUGUGGGGCCAUCCUUCUUUUCAAACACCAGUACUUUUAAAAAGGUACAAGGCAUCCAAAAUGCAGGACGCAGAGUAUGGGUAUGCUAAUAACAUUAGAGUUGAUUAACAUACAUUCAGGUCACCAAGUGUUCAGAAACUGAACUGUUUGAACUUAGGUUGUCUUCUCAGCAGAAGUUCAACCUUGUUUUGCAUACGUGCAAUGAAACAACAUUUCAUAACUUGACCACGUAGGGUGUUUUUUUACUUUCUAGCACAGCCUUUGAAUGAGCAAUCAGGGGGGACCUGGUGCAGCCAUUGCUACGUGUACUGUGACUGGAAAGGCGCCUGUCUGUCCUGCUCCACAUGGCACUAAUACUGUGCCAUCUUGGCUGUGCGUGAGAUUGAGUCUAGUUGUAGUGGACAUAUGACAUGUGGAGCCAGCCUAUAGGGGAGCAGGUAAGCAUCCUUGCUACUGUGGCUUUGGAAUCAUUGAUGAUAGAUUACAUUGCUGGAGUCAGUGGUAUAAGACCAACGUAACAUCCAUAAUCAUCUCUGACACCUCAGAUUUUCACAUUUCAGAAUGUAAAAUACAGCCAUCUUUUUGUACUCCAUUUUCUAAGGUGACUGGCCCAGUCUGAAGGUUCUGGAGUGUUCCGGAGUGAGAAGCAAGUGCUGAACCAUAUGUGGAGAAUACUAUAUGGUAUCCCAUACUGAAAUAUGCAAUUUUCUUCCUGAACAGGGCAAGGUGAAAAGGAAAGAGGAGUUAUUUCAGCUCAAUGAAUAAUUUGCACAGAAGAAUUUUUUCCAGAGUAUCCACCUUCUCUUCUACUUGCAUCACAUUGAUGAUGCAAUUGCUGUUCUCUGGUAUUUAUGUACCCUCACAAUUUCUAGUCCUCUGUCUCCUGCUGAAGGCCUUUGGCCUCCUGUUUGGCUGCAUGUAAAAGCAUCUUUCAGCCAAGAAAGUGUGAGCAAUCUUGCUUGCUUCUUGGCAUUUGUUGGCAUAGAGUUAAACUUAUGUUUCUGAAGGAAGUUUCAGAGGGCAUCCAUUAACCUGAGGAUCCAGUGCUUUAGGGAAUGGAUGAGGCAUGAAUGGACAUGACAUGGUUAGGUUGGUUCAAAGGCAAGAAACUGGUAGGAGGAGACUGCUUUGCACCAGGACAGUGUUACUGCUCCCCCAGAGGGUCCGGGAAAAGUAGGUAAGGAGAACAUGGGCCUCCAAAUGUGGAACUGGAAUGGUGAAAGGAGGAAAUAGGGGCCUAGGUAUGGAAAUCUGUCAUGAAGCUGAGACAGGGCCAGGGUUUCAAAGGUGUUUCUUGAAGUGGAAGGAUGUUGAGAGAUGUUUGGAGAGGGCUUUGGGAAUCUAAAGAAGAAAGAAGGGCACCAAGUGCUUGCAGGACAACAAAACAAUAUAUACUACCCAGUACCCACUUGGCCCUGCAAGCAAUAGAGGGAUCCUUGUGUGGGUCUGCAGUUUUGGAAACAUCUAUUUAUUUUGUCUGCCUCCAUGAUUAGGAGGCAAAUUUAGGGCUUAUCUACUUGGGGAAAUCCCUGCAAAAUAGGCUGGGGUAUGAAUUUACAGCCUACUUAAAGACCCAGCAGUAAAUGCAGUGUAAAUUCACACUUCAGCUUACUUCACAGGAACUCCCCCGCAGAAACAAGCCCUCAGAGUCACCUCUGUACCUCAGUCUGGUGCUAAAAGUGAGUGGAAGCUUCUCAAAAUGUGGGCCCCUAAUUCCAUUUUUAUAUCUGGGUUUUUCUGUCUCCUGGGGCUUUUUGCAGCUGCUAUAAAUCACUGUUGCUUAGCUGAGGUUGGGGAAGCUGGGCCACUUUAUGCUGCUCAGGAUCUGGCCCUUUGCCUCAAGUAACCUUUUAUUAUCAAUUGGCCAGAGGGUAUUUUCCUUUUUGCGAGCUUUGUUGAGCUUGUUCAUUCACUCCCACCACUGCUGAUGUCUUUUUUUUUUCUUUCUUCUUUAUUUUUUUUUUCCCUGUGAAUUUUGUGUUGUGUCUUUCCUCCCAUGUAAUUUCCUAAUAGUGAACUAGUGACAGAGUGGGCUGCUGGUAUUUCAUCUUGUGGCUGGAGAGGUCAGGCUGUUUCUGAUACAGACAAACACUCCAUUACAGUAAACUCACAAAAAGUUUCCUUUUCAACCUGAAAGGAGAAGGAAACAGAGUCUCCACCAAUGGGCUUUCAAGAAUUAUUUCUGUGAGCUGAACUUAAACUAGAUGCCAGUUUGGUAACGUUCUGCGUUGUUCUGUGCAGAGGAAGGAGGAAAAAAAAAAAAGAGGAAGAUGUAUUAUUUCUUCUUUCUUUUUGCUGAGAUUUGGAUUCAGUCCUGACUCCUUAUCAGAUUAAGGUCCUGCAAUGAAAACACCAAGCCUUUUCAUAUGCACUAUUGAAGAAAUGGUCAUUGCUGAUGUCCAGCUAAAAGAGCAUAAGGAUUAAGGAUUUAAAGCUUCAGAGUUCUCUGUAUGCUUCUGGUAUUUAGGAAAACUUGCUUAUUGACAGGAAGAAAGCAGUAAUAAGGCAAAUACAUAGAACAAUAUGUUUCUUGCUGUACUUUAGGUCAGAACUAAGAACACUGCCCCUGUCUACUUGAUGUCAGUUUGAUUUAAAUUUAUUGGAAUGCUCCAGGGUAUACACGAGUCGAAUCCUGUAAUCCAUGGUGAAUUAGUAUGUAUCCAGUAUAGCAGCGUUCUCUGUGCAUGGAAUAAUUUGACAUAAAAUGUGCUCUCUGCUGCUCAGGAGAGAGGCAAAUGCAACAAAGUAUUUAUUGUCUUACUGUUUGCUACUUGGACUUAGCUGAGUUGCCCUUUAUUAGAAAGACAUGAAUAAAAUUAAUGUAAGUGUUGAAGGAAUAGCAACUGCAGGAUAACAAAUACUUAGGCCCCAAACUUGACAUAGUAUCAUAAAUCAAUAUUUUUUUUAAGAGAUUUAGUUCUUCUUUCUGCUUAAUUCCUUGAUUUGUGGCACCAGUUUGCUUAAAUUUUCUUCUGUGGUAACUUGAGUAACUUUAUGCUUCUCCCUUCUACAGAAAAUUUAGUAUUGAUUUGCUGACUUCCUCUUUAAAUGCAGACAAAAAUCCCCUGUUUGCUAAAUUAAGAAACCAAUAACAUGGAAUGAAAACAUGCAUUACAUUGCAUUGCCUGAACUUUGUGCUUUGUUGACUUUGACAUGUGCUGUCAAUUGUUAAAAUACAUGUUUAUACCAAAUAUAAUAUUUUCUUUUCCCUACCAUUCUCGUAUUAUACCAGAAUAAAAAAUUAAAGGGUAGUUAGAAGUUUGGUUAAUUUAAGUGUGGGAGCAUAUUAUCAAUUGAAAAAUAUUAUUUGAAUUGUCAUUUUGUAGCUGUUCUAUUAUUUGAAUGGACUUUGCAAGGUCAAAUGUAGACCAAGUGAAAACAAAGUUUAGCUUAUGUGUUUGCACACAUUUGUGCUAGGUGUGAGUCACGAAUAUCAUGUACACUUGAUAAUAUUAUUCCAUCUUUCACACACUGAUUUUUAUUAGUUACGAAAUACUUGCAGGGAAGAGACAGUGUCCUCCUGCUUCUCUUGGUUUGUGGUGCAUCUAUCUGCAGCACAUACAGAACUUGGUCUAGACAGCAUGGCUAAUUUAUAAGCUGUGGAAACAGGAUCCUAUAAGGAGUUGUACAGGACACACUGCUGGACUACACAUGUGCUGAAAGGACCAGGUCUGGUUUGUUAAAGCCAGAUGUAGAAAUGCUGCCUUCAGCUAACUCCAUCCUCUGCAACUGCCUUCUGCAAGUGCCUUUCCUCCCUGCUGCCCAUCUCCUAUGAACCCUCUGAUCUUUGCCCAGCUGGUUCAAUUCUCUUCUUGAUGAGACUGCUGCAUCUUCACCUUGAGUCCUCCCUGGGCGGCUAAAGUGGGUCUGAUCACCAAGGAAAUCUGGCCCACUGAAUUCCUUUCCAUUCUGUGCAGUUGAAUGAAAAGUGUGUGUCUUUUGAAGAACAGUGACUGAAAGAAAUAUUGAUGACUGCCAGGGCAUCUACAGAAAAGGAUAAGAAAAUUACUACAACAGGGAAGACAAAGGGGCUUUGUUACUCUUUCUUAAAGAAGACAACAGAACCCCUGUGAUGGAAAUGUGUGGACAGCUAUGAAUCUUCAGUGAACUCCAAACUGUAUGGCAGCUACAGUUUGCAUUUCUGGAUAUAAUGAUGCAACAGAUCUAAACCUGGUGAUACAACAGACAGGAUGAGGACUCAGGAAAAAAACAAGGGAGUGAAGUUCAGCUCAGAAUUAAAUGUCCAAAGAUUUAAACUUGGUGGAGUUUUUAAUAAAGUUAGAUGAACAACAUAUGAUGCCUUGUGCUGUAUUAAUCUUCCAGCGCUUGAUGCUUCACGUGAUUUUCCAGCAGCUUUCAUUUAUUGAAUUUCCUGCUUAGAUUUUUUGGUGAAAAGCAAGGAAGAUUAUGAAACAUCCCCUUUUUAAUUCUAAUUUAAUUGCAUUCAAUUAGCUAAAUACAUCAUUUGCUACAACUUCAGUUAAUACAUUGUUAAAUAUUAUUUUUACAAUAGUGUGCCAAAUGACAUAUUAAUACUAUUUGGUGUCAUUAGCACUCGAUUACAAAAAUAUUUGCAUACUGCUUAUUAGGAUGUGAUAUGGUGCGUUUCCGCAUUGGCUGACUAUGUAGGUGACUAAGGAUUGUGAAAUAGUUCUCAACCCAUACCCUGGAUUUUAAAGCUUCCAGAUUUGUUUGUUCAUUUUUAAAAAUAAAAAUUAAAUUCAAUUUCCUGACACAGUUUUUGUGUCAUGGAUUUCUAGAAUAAGUGCAUUCAGCCUUAUUCCUGUUCAGGCUACACUUUCAUAAUUAUACUUAGCCUGCCCCAAUUCCCUGAAUUUUAGUUUCCUUAUUCUUCUUUAGUUUUUAGUCUGCCAAGAAUGAUGAGGGGAAAAUUGAUCCUGCCUUGGGAAAAAGGGAUUGGAGUAAAUGACUUCCAUGAGGCCUUUCCAACCCUGUUUUUCUUUGAUCCUGCAUGGCCUGGAGCUGUCAUGCAUCCAGCCAGCUCAUGGUGGAUUCAGAGCAAACCGGUGUCCACAAAUGGCUGAAGCUUCUGUACUGAGAAAGUAGCAGUGCAGAUCCAGCCAUUACUGGGUGUUUUUUUAACAGUUCUGCUGGU